GACGGGGGGGGCAAGUGUUCUUCGGAAUGACUGGGCGUAAAGGGCACGUAGGCGGUGAAUCGGGUUGAAAGUGAAAGUCGCCAAAAAGUGGCGGAAUGCUCUCGAAACCAAUUCACUUGAGUGAGACAGAGGAGAGUGGAAUUUCGUGUGUAGGGGUGAAAUCCGUAAAUAUACGAAGGAACGCCAAAAGCGAAGGCAGCUCUCUGGGUCCCUACCGACGCUGGGGAGCGAAAGCGUGGGGAGCGAACAGG
rnacentral:rRNA from 1 species